rnacentral:tRNA from 2 species
GUUUCUGUAGUUGAGAACAACAAUGGUUUUUCAGACCGUAGGUCUUGGGUAGUAGCCAAGCAGAAACU